rnacentral:rRNA from 1 species
CCCUUAGAUGUUCUGGGCCGCACGCGCGCUACACUGACGGAGGCAGCGAGCAUGUCCUUCGCCGAGAGGUGUGGGGAAUCUUGUGAGUCUCCGUCGUGCUGGGGAUAGAUGGUUGCAAUUGUCGAUCUUGAACGAGGAAUUCCUAGUAAGCGCGAGUCAUCAGCUCGCGCUGAUUACGUCCCUGCCCUUUGUACACACCGCCCGUCGCUACUACCGAUUGGAUGGUUUAGUGAGACCCUCGGAUCGGUCCCGACUCGGGGUGGGCUUCUGCCCCGGUCGUGGUUUCGCCGAGAAGACGGUCAAACUUGACUAUCUAGAGGAAGUAAAAGUCGUAACA